rnacentral:rRNA from 1 species
GCAUAUCAAUAAGCGGAGGAAAAAGAAACUAACAAGGAUUCCCCUAGUAACGGCGAGUGAAGCGGGAAGAGCUCAAAUUUAAAAAUCUGGUUUGCUUUGCAAAUCCGAGUUGUAGUCUGAAGAAACGUUUUCCAUGAAAGCUGAGGCACAAGUCCUUUGGAACAGGGCAUCAUAGAGGGUGAGAAUCCCGUCCAUGGUCUCAAGCCUUUCAUUUUGUGAUACGUUUUCUAAGAGUCAGGUUGUUUGGGAAUGCAGCCUAAAAUGGGUGGUAAAUUUCAUCUAAAGCUAAAUAUUGGCGAGAGACCGAUAGCGAACAAGUACCGUGAGGGAAAGAUGAAAAGAACUUUGAAAAGAGAGUUAAAAAGUACGUGAAAUUGUUGAAAGGGAACCGUUUGAAGCCAGUCUUGCUUGCUUGUGAUCAAUCUUUGCUUCGGCUUGGAUGCACUCUCAGGUUAUGCAGGUCAACGUCAGUUUGAGAGGUGGGAAAAAAGCUUGAGGAAUGUGGCCUUUGGGUGUUAUAGCCUCUUGCUAAAUACCAUCUUUUGGACUGAGGCUCGCAGCAAAAAUGUGGGCAGGUUUGCGUUUGAGGUGAUACAUUAUUAAGACAGCUUGCUGACUUAGUUUUGUCUAUCUUCACUGUAAGCUUCGCUUCUAAUUUGCUUAGGUCGUUGACAUAAUGGCUUUAAAUGACCCGUCUUGAAACACGGACCAAGGAGUCUAACAUAUAUGCGAGUAUUUGGGUGGCAAACCCACAUGCGCAAUGAAAGUGAAAUUAGGUGCCAAACUCUCACGAGUGGCAGCAUCGGCCGGCUCUGACGUUUCUAACUGACGAGUCUGAGCAGAAGCAUACAUGUUGGGACCCGAAAGAUGGUGAACUAUGCCUGAAUAGGGUGAAGCCAGAGGAAACUACUGGUGGAGGCUCGUAGCGAUUCUGACGUGCAAAUCGAUCGUCAAAUUUGGGUAUAGGGGCGAAAGACUAAUCGAACCAUCUAGUAGCUGGUUUCCUGCGA